GACGAACCGUGCAAACGUUGUUCGGAAUCACUGGGCUUAAAGGGCGCGUAGGCGGCUUGCCAAGUCAGUGGUGAAAUCCUGCAGCUUAACUGUAGAAGUGCCUUUGAUACUGGCAAGCUAGAGCGAGGUAGGGGUCUGUGGAACUUCUGGUGGAGCGGUGAAAUGCGUUGAUAUCAGAAGGAACGCCGGUGGCGAAAGCGACGGACUGGACCUUUUCUGACGCUGAGGCGCGAAAGCCAGGGGAGCAAACGGG
rnacentral:rRNA from 1 species